AGGGAUCAUUACUGAGUGAGGGCUCACGCCCGACCUCCAACCCUUUGUGAACCAAACUUGUUGCUUCGGGGGCGACCCUGCCGACGACUCCGUCGCCGGGCGCCCCCGGAGGUCUUCUAAACACUGCAUCUUUGCGUCGGAGUUUAAAACAAAUUAAACAAAACUUUCAACAACGGAUCUCUUGGUUCUGGCAUCGAUGAAGAACGCAGCGAAAUGCGAUAAGUAAUGUGAAUUGCAGAAUUCAGUGAAUCAUCGAAUCUUUGAACGCACAUUGCGCCCUUUGGUAUUCCGAAGGGCAUGCCUGUUCGAGCGUCAUUUCACCACUCAAGCCUGGCUUGGUAUUGGGCGUCGCGGUUUUCCGCGCGCCUUAAAGUCUUCCGGCUGAGCUGUCCGUCUCUAAGCGUUGUGGAUUUUUCAAUUCGCUUCGGAGUGCGGAUGGCCGCGGCCGUUAAAUCUUUAUUCAAAGGUUGACCUCGGAUCAGGUAGGGAUA
rnacentral:rRNA from 1 species